UACGUAGGCAGCGAGCGUUGUUCGGAGUUACUGGGCGUAAAGAGUGCGUAGGCGGUUUUUCUAAGUUUGGUGUGAAAUCUCCCGGCUCAACUGGGAGGGUGCGCCGAAGACUGGAAGGCUUGAGUAUGGGAGAGGUAAGCGGAAUUCCUGGUGUAGCGGUGAAAUGCGUAGAUAUCAGGAGGAACACCUGCGGUGUAGACGGCUUACUGGACCAUAACUGACGCUGAGGCACGAAAGCGUGGGUAGCAAACAGG
rnacentral:rRNA from 1 species